rnacentral:rRNA from 1 species
UACGUAGGGGGCAAGCGUUAUCCGGAUUUACUGGGUGUAAAGGGAGCGUAGACGGUUAUGUAAGUCUGGAGUGAAAGCCCGGGGCCCAACCCCGGGACUGCUUUGGAAACUGUGUAACUGGAGUACAGGAGGGGCAGGCGGAAUUCCUGGUGUAGCGGUGAAAUGCGUAGAUAUCAGGAGGAACACCGGCGGCGAAGGCGGCUUACUGGACUGCAACUGACACUGAGGCUCGAAAGUGUGGGUAUCAAACAGG